GCUAACUACGUGCCAGCAGCCGCGGUAAUACGUAGGGGCCGAGCGUUGUCCGGAGUUACUGGGCGUAAAGCGUGCGCAGGCGGUCUGGAUAGCCCGGCGUGAAAGCCCCCGGCUCAACCGGGGAGGGUCGUCGGGGACGUUCAGACUUGAGGGUGUCAGGGGCUGGUGGAAUUCCCGGUGUAGUGGUGAAAUGCGUAGAGAUCGGGAGGAACACCCGUGGCGAAGGCGGCCAGCUGGGGCACACCUGACGCUGAGGCACGAAGGCGUGGGGAGCGAACGGGAUUAGAUACCCGGGUAGUC
rnacentral:rRNA from 1 species